GUGGGGAAUAUUGGACAAUGGGGGGAACCCUGAUCCAGCCAUGCCGCGUGUGUGAAGAAGGCCUUUUGGUUGUAAAGCACUUUAAGCGAGGAGGAGGCUACCGAGAUUAAUACUCUUGGAUAGUGGACGUUACUCGCAGAAUAAGCACCGGCUAACUCUGUGCCAGCAGCCGCGGUAAUACAGAGGGUGCAAGCGUUAAUCGGAUUUACUGGGCGUAAAGCGCGCGUAGGUGGCUAAUUAAGUCAAAUGUGAAAUCCCCGGGCUUAACUUGGGAAUUGCAUUGGAUACUGGUUGGCUAGAGUAUGGGAGAGGAUGGUAGAAUUCCAGGUGUAGCGGUGAAAUGCGUAGAGAUCUGGAGGAAUACCGAUGGCGAAGGCAGCCAUCUGGCCUAAUACUGACACUGAGGUGCGAAAGCAUGGGGAGCAAACAGGAUUAGAAACCCGUGUAGUCC
rnacentral:rRNA from 1 species